CCUCUAGCAUAAAUAGUAUUAGAGGCACUGCCUGCCCAGUGACAUACGUUCAACGGCCGCGGUAUCCUGACCGUGCAAAGGUAGCAUAAUCACUUGUUCUUUAAAUAAGGACUAGUAUGAAUGGCUUAACGAAGGUUUAACUGUCUCUUACUUUUAAUCAGUGAAAUUGACCUUCCCGUGAAGAGGCGGGAAUUUCCUAAUAAGACGAGAAGACCCUAUGGAGCUUUAAUCUAAUAGUCUCGCAACCCUAAUUAUAUCUAAGGAGUUAAAAUUUUUGUUCAUAGACUAGAAAUUUUGGUUGGGGUGACCUCGGAGAAUAAACUAACCUCCGAAUGAUAAUAAUCUAGACACUACAUGUCCAAAUUACAAUUCAUUAAUUGACCCAAAUUAUUGAUCAACGGAACAAGUUACCCUAGGGAUAACAGCGCAAUCCUAUUCAAGAGUCCAUAUCGACAAUUAGGGUUUACGACCUCGAUGUUGGAUCAGGACAUCCAAAUGGUGUAACCGCUAUUAAUGGUUCGUUUGUUCAACGAUUAAAGUC
rnacentral:rRNA from 1 species